UCUUCGAUGGGGGCAGCCUGAAGCCGCCUGCCGCGUGAGUGGAUAGAAGGUCUUACGAUUGUAAAAUUCUUUUCCGGGGACGAUACUGACGGUCCCCGGCAGAACAAGCCCCGGCUGACCUCGUGCCAUCAGCCGCGGUUAUCCAAAUGGCGCCAGCCUUUCUAAUAAAUUACGGGGCGUAAAGGGCUCGUAAUUACUGAGUUUAAUGAGAGGUGAAAGCCCUAGGCUCAACCUUGGAACUGCCUUUCAUACUGGCUAGCUUGAGUACCGGGGAAGUGAGUGGAACUCCUGGUGUAGAGGUGAAAUUAAUUCAUAUUCGGAAGAACACCUGUGGCGAAGGCGACUCAAAUACCCCGUUACUGACGCUCAGGCGCGAAU
rnacentral:rRNA from 1 species